GCCCCUUUAGCUCAGUGGGAGAGCGCUCCACUCGUAUUUCGUUUCGAAAUGGAGAGGUCACUAGUUCAAUCCUGGUAGGGGGCA